AGGGCCGGUCCUGGGCUGAGGCAUUUGAGGCCUCAGCCUCAGGCCCAAAACCCUUAGGGGGCCCAAUUUUGCUUCAAUUUUUUUUUUUUUUUUUUUUUUUUGGGGAUAGUUUUGGAUUUUGGAUGUUAUUUUAAUUUUGUAUUGUUUUCGUAAACUUGUAAUGCUCAAAUUUUUGCGUACAUAAUUGAAAAUGUUAUUAGAUUUUUACGUAAAUUUUUACGUUGAUUUCGUCCGGGGGCCCAAUUUACGGACCUCGCCUCGGGCCUCCAUUAUCACAGGACCGGCCCUG
rnacentral:lncRNA from 1 species